CUUAUAUAUUAAAAUAAGGUAGAAUUUAAUAACUUUUUCAUUUUUUCCUUACUCUAAUAAAUGUGAAAAGAGAUUAAUGUCAUAAAAGAAAAAAUAAUAUUAAAUGGAGAUCAAAUAAUUAAUAAGGUAAAUUAGUGAAAUUAUAAUUCUAAUUGAUGUUUCCUUAAAAAACCGUGUAAAAGAAAACAUGGCAAGUAAAAUGAGUUAAACCAAAAAUAUUUACCAAAAAUUAAAAAAUAGUAGUUCUUCAUUUAAAUAGAAAAUCAAAUUUCUACUUUGUUUCAUUUUAAACAUGUAAAAUUAAUAUAAUAAUUUGAAUUAGAAUUAUCCAAAUCAAAAUUUGAUAAAAAAUAAUAGGUAUUGUUUAGGCCCAAUCUACAUACAUUAACAAUAGAAUAUUUUACACUUUUAAAUUAAUCGAAUUAAAAUUUAAAAGAAAAAUGGUUUCCUUUUAAAUAAGUCUAUUAAUAAAUUUUUCCCAACUUUGUAUUCGUAGCAAACACUAAUAUAAUAAAGUUUUGGAUAUGGAGCACAAACUACAAUAUUUUAUUAAUCGUGUUUUGAACAAUAUAUAUUACUUUACUACUAUAUAGAAGAGCCGGUUUAUAAGCAAGAUCGUCGUCCGUCCUUUGGUCCCACUUUUUUAUUUAAGGGCAAAAAAAUCCUUUGUGGUCCCACCCACUUUUUUAUUUAAGGGCAAAAAAAUGACAUUUUAUACUUUAUAUUACCAACUCUUUUAAAAAGUAGAUAGAAAUACUUUAUUAUAUUUCUAUUUUUCUACUAUAUAGAAGCAUCGGUUUACCCAUGCUUCAUCGUCAGUCACUCUUAAAAAAAAAUGCUUCUAUAUAGUUAAAAAAAAAGAAGGAAAAAAGUGGACCCCACCCUCUCCAAACUCAUAAAAAAAAGGGUGGACCCCACCCUCUCCAAACUCAUGAAAAAAAAGUGGACCCCAUAUUAAAAAAAAACAAGCAAUGUCAAAAAAAAAAAAAAAGUGCACCCCAUAUAUUAAAAAAUCAAACAA